GAAUCUUGGGCAAUGGGCGCAAGCCUGACCCAGCCAUGCCGCGUGUGUGAAGAAGGCCCUCGGGUUGUAAAGCACUUUCAGUGGCGAAGAAAAGCUUGGGGCGAACACCCUCGAGUUCUGAAGUUAUCCACAGAAGAAGCACCGGCUAACUCCGUGCCAGCAGCCGCGGUAAUACGGAGGGUGCGAACGUUAAUCGGAAUUACUGGGCGUAAAGCGCACGUAGGAGGUUUGUUAAGUGGGAUGUGAAAGCCCUGGGCUCAACCUGGGAAUUGCAUUCCAAACUGACAAGCUAGAGUACGAUAGAGGGAGGUAGAAUUUCCUGUGUAGCGGUGAAAUGCGUAGAUAUAGGAAGGAAUACCAGUGGCGAAGGCGGCCUCCUGGAUCGAUACUGACGCUGAGGUGCGAAAGCGUGGGGAGCAAACAGG
rnacentral:rRNA from 1 species